rnacentral:rRNA from 1 species
UACGUAGGGGGCGAGCGUUGUCCGGAUUUAUUGGGCGUAAAGAGCUCGUAGGCGGUUUGGGAAGUCGGGUGUGAAAACCCCAGGCUCAACCUGGGGACGCCACCUGAUACUGCUAUGACUUGAGUCUGGUAGGGGAUCACGGAAUUCCUGGUGUAGCGGUGAAAUGCGCAGAUAUCAGGAAGAACACCCGUGGCGAAAGCGGCUCUCUGGAACGGUACUGACGCUGAGACGCGAAAGCGUGGGGAGCGAACAGG